CGGUUAAGUUAGAAAGGGCGCACGGUGGAUGCCUUGGCACUAGGAGCCGAUGAAGGACGGGACGAACACCGAUAUGCUUCGGGGAGCUGUAAGCAAGCUUUGAUCCGGAGAUUUCCGAAUGGGGAAACCCACCACUCGUAAUGGAGUGGUAUCCAUAUCUGAAUACAUAGGAUAUGAGAAGGCAGACCCGGGGAACUGAAACAUCUAAGUACCCGGAGGAAGAGAAAGCAAAUGCGAUUCCCUGAGUAGCGGCGAGCGAAACGGGACCAGCCCAAACCAAGAGGCUUGCCUCUUGGGGUUGUAGGACACUCUGUACGGAGUUACAAAGGAACGAGGUAGAUGAAGAGGUCUGGAAAGGCCCGCCAUAGGAGGUAACAGCCCUGUAGUCAAAACUUCGUUCUCUCCUGAGUGGAUCCUGAGUACGGCGGAACACGUGAAAUUCCGUCGGAAUCCGGGAGGACCAUCUCCCAAGGCUAAAUACUCCCUAGUGACCGAUAGUGAACCAGUACCGUGAGGGAAAGGUGAAAAGCACCCCGGAAGGGGAGUGAAAGAGAUCCUGAAACCGUGUGCCUACAAGUAGUCAGAGCCCGUUAACGGGUGAUGGCGUGCCUUUUGUAGAAUGAACCGGCGAGUUACGAUCCCGUGCAAGGUUAAGCAGAAGAUGCGGAGCCGCAGCGAAAGCGAGUCUGAAUAGGGCGAAUUGAGUACGUGGUCGUAGACCCGAAACCAGGUGAUCUACCCAUGUCCAGGGUGAAGUUCAGGUAACACUGAAUGGAGGCCCGAACCCACGCACGUUGAAAAGUGCGGGGAUGAGGUGUGGGUAGGGGUGAAAUGCCAAUCGAACCUGGAGAUAGCUGGUUCUCUCCGAAAUAGCUUUAGGGCUAGCCUCAAGGUAAGAGUCUCGGAGGUAGAGCACUGAUUGGACUAGGGGCCCCUACCGGGUUACCGAAUUCAGUCAAACUCCGAAUGCCGAUGACUUAUCCUUGGGAGUCAGACUGCGAGUGAUAAGAUCCGUAGUCGAAAGGGAAACAGCCCAGACCGCCAGCUAAGGUCCCAAAGUAUACGUUAAGUGGAAAAGGAUGUGGAGUUGCUUAGACAACCAGGAUGUUGGCUUAGAAGCAGCCACCAUUUAAAGAGUGCGUAAUAGCUCACUGGUCGAGUGACUCUGCGCCGAAAAUGUACCGGGGCUAAACGUAUCACCGAAGCUGCGGACUGUUCUUCGAACAGUGGUAGGAGAGCGUUCUAAGGGCUGUGAAGCAAGACCGGAAGGACUUGUGGAGCGCUUAGAAGUGAGAAUGCCGGUAUGAGUAGCGAAAGAGGGGUGAGAAUCCCCUCCACCGAAUGCCUAAGGUUUCCUGAGGAAGGCUCGUCCGCUCAGGGUUAGUCGGGACCUAAGCCGAGGCCGAAAGGCGUAGGCGAUGGAUAACAGGUUGAUAUUCCUGUACCACCUCCUCACCAUUUGAGCAAUGGGGGGACGCAGGAGGAUAGGGUAAGCGCGGUAUUGGAUAUCCGCGUCCAAGCAGUUAGGCUGGGAAAUAGGCAAAUCCGUUUCCCGUGAAGGCUGAGCUGUGAUGGCGAGCGAAUUAUAGUAGCGAAGUUCCUGAUUCCACACUGCCAAGAAAAGCCUCUAGCGAGGUGAGAGGUGCCCGUACCGCAAACCGACACAGGUAGGCGAGGAGAGAAUCCUAAGGUGAUCGAGAGAACUCUCGUUAAGGAACUCGGCAAAAUGACCCCGUAACUUCGGGGGAAGGGGUGCUCUGUUAGGGUGCAAGCCCGAGAGAGCCGCAGUGAAUAGGCCCAGGCGACUGUUUAGCAAAAACACAGGUCUCUGCGAAGCCGUAAGGCGAAGUAUAGGGGCUGACGCCUGCCCGGUGCUGGAAGGUUAAGAGGAGCGCUUAGCGUAAGCGAAGGUGCGAAUUGAAGCCCCAGUAAACGGCGGCCGUAACUAUAACGGUCCUAAGGUAGCGAAAUUCCUUGUCGGGUAAGUUCCGACCCGCACGAAAGGCGCAACGAUCUGGGCACUGUCUCAACGAGAGACUCGGUGAAAUUAUAGUACCUGUGAAGAUGCAGGUUACCCGCGACAGGACGGAAAGACCCCGUGGAGCUUUACUGCAGCCUGAUAUUGAAUGUUGGUACAGCUUGUACAGGAUAGGUAGGAGCCUUGGAAACCGGAGCGCCAGCUUCGGUGGAGGCAUCGGUGGGAUACUACCCUGGCUGUAUUGACCUUCUAACCCGCCGCCCUUAUCGGGCGGGGAGACAGUGUCAGGUGGGCAGUUUGACUGGGGCGGUCGCCUCCUAAAAGGUAACGGAGGCGCCCAAAGGUUCCCUCAGAAUGGUUGGAAAUCAUUCGCAGAGUGUAAAGGCACAAGGGAGCUUGACUGCGAGACCUACAAGUCGAGCAGGGACGAAAGUCGGGCUUAGUGAUCCGGUGGUUCCGCAUGGAAGGGCCAUCGCUCAACGGAUAAAAGCUACCCCGGGGAUAACAGGCUUAUCUCCCCCAAGAGUCCACAUCGACGGGGAGGUUUGGCACCUCGAUGUCGGCUCAUCGCAUCCUGGGGCUGUAGUCGGUCCCAAGGGUUGGGCUGUUCGCCCAUUAAAGCGGUACGCGAGCUGGGUUCAGAACGUCGUGAGACAGUUCGGUCCCUAUCCGUCGCGGGCGCAGGAAAUUUGAGAGGAGCUGUCCUUAGUACGAGAGGACCGGGAUGGACGCACCGCUGGUGUACCAGUUGUUCUGCCAAGGGCAUCGCUGGGUAGCUAUGUGCGGACGGGAUAAGUGCUGAAAGCAUCUAAGCAUGAAGCCCCCCUCAAGAUGAGAUUUCCCAUUCCGCAAGGAAGUAAGAUCCCUGAAAGAUGAUCAGGUUGAUAGGUCUGAGGUGGAAGUGUGGCGACACAUGGAGCUGACAGAUACUAAUCGAUCGAGGACUUAACCAAUUU
rnacentral:rRNA from 1 species